GUGGUCGACAUUUUUGUCUCGGAAGUUUUUAAUGUUUUUAUGUGAGGAUAUCUACGAUGGCACUUACGGCGGCAGAAAAACAAAAACGGUAUAGGGAGCGAAUGCGAGCCAACAACCCGGAAAAGUUUCUAGAAGCUAAACGAAAAAAUUCUGCGCGGAAUAAAGAACGAAAAAAAAUUAGUGAAUGUACAGAGAAUGAAAAGAAGAAACUACGGAAGCAGUGGCGAGAUAGGAAAAAUAGGCAAAAAAUUAAACUAAGUGAAAAUUGUGAAGAAAUCAAAUCAGAAAACGAGACCAUUGAUGAUAAAAUUAAGAAAGCUCGAUUAGCAGAACGAAAAAAAAAUUUUAGGCGGUUUGCUAUUGAAAAGGAAAGUUUUCACACCAAAAUAAAUAACUUGUCAAAUACUAUUAAAACACUUAAAAAGAAAUGUUGUGGCUUGAUAAAAAAGCAAAAAUCAUUACUUGAAUGUAUAGAAGAACUCAAGGCAAAAAAUACAGCCACUGAAAAAGUUCCAACAACUGUGUUCAAUAUAUAUUUGUAAUUUUCAACUUUGGUUUGGUUUGGAAGUAUGAAGCGAAAAAGGAAAACUUCAGAAUUAAGUGUUACUACUGAUUCAGAACAAGAGCAAAAAGAAAACAAGAAUGAGAAGAAUAUAAUUUGUAAAACGAGUGAAAAGACGAAGAAGAAAACAAAAGUUACAAUAUUUAUAUCAGAAGUAAGAUAUAGGUCAGAAAAUUUUGUAACAUAAAUUUGGGUCCACUAAACCUCACAAAAAUGCAAAUAUCUGAUAACAUAAAUAAAUUUAAUAUACACGACAAUCAAACCCCAUCUUCGUCAGGACUAUGUAGAAGACAAAACAUAACACAUAAUAUGAAUUCUGUUCGUAAAGCGCAACCAGAUUCUGAUGCAAGCAGUACAGACGACGCCGAAUACUCAGUAGAUAUACGAUACCUCAGAUUACGAAAUUUUCAUACCUGAUUAUGACUCUUUUUUUGGAUGAUAGGUACCCAAGAAAUUGAAGAGAACACUGAAAACAAAAAAAGCAUGACACUAAUGACAGUGAAAAUUAAUCCCGCUUGCGAACAGAAAAAGGUUGAAGAAAUAACUGAAAGAGAACAAUUUAUUAAAAUAAAAAAUACUAACGAAGACUCCAAAAUCGUGAAUCCUUAGAAAACAGACAGUUUAGUGUGUAUGAACGGCGUAGAAGUACUCGUCAAUAUUUUAAGACAGAUGUAUUAAAAGCUAGAUCGUCCAUAAUUAUACUUAAUUUGAUAAUAAUUUUGAAUUACAGAGUAGGAAAUGUGCAAUGUAUUCAUGUACCACUGUUGCAGGAAUAAUGUGCAAUGUCCGUUUUAUGUGACAUACUGAAUACAAUAGAAAGAAUUAAAAUUUUAA